rnacentral:lncRNA from 1 species
AUGCAGAAGACUUAACACUAUUAGCCAAUUCUAUCACUGACAUUUAUAGAAUAUUCUACACAAGAGCAAAGUACCUAUGGCAAUUGUACUAUCUGUGAAAUGAUAUGGUGCUAUUUAAAAGAGGACUUGAAUUAGUUAUAAGUGUAUACUUCAAACUCAAGGGCUGGCAGUUAAAAAAAGUUAAAAAAGCAUAAUUUAUUCAAUUAAUAUGUUAUGAGAGGGAAAAAUGUUGCCUUAUACAUUACAGUUGGACACAUCAACAUGUCCCCCCAGUCAGUUAAGGACAUAACUGAACUAAACAGCACCAUCAAUCAACUGGAUUUAAUAUCAACAUUAUGGAAUAUUUUAUCCAAGAAAAGCAGAAUACGUAACUCUUCUCUUCUCACACAGAACAUUCAUCAUGACAGAC